rnacentral:rRNA from 1 species
UACGAAGGGGGCUAGCGUUGUUCGGAAUUACUGGGCGUAAAGCGCGCGUAGGCGGUGAUCUUUGUCAGGGGUGAAAUCCCGGGGCUCAACCCCGGAAUUGCCUUUGAGACGGGAUCGCUAGAGUCCGAGAGAGGAUGGCGGAAUUCCUAGUGUAGAGGUGAAAUUCGUAGAUAUUAGGAAGAACACCGGUGGCGAAGGCGGCCAUCUGGCUCGGUACUGACGCUCAGGCGCGAAAGCGUGGGGAGCAAACAGG